ACUUAAUUUCCGUGGUACCUUCAUGGUGUGGAGUCCCUGAUCAAGGCCAGGGCGCUGCAGAGCUCCGCGCUAGGACCAACAAGGUCGGAGAACUGCAGCCCUGCAGCUGGCUACCACAUCUCCCAUCGGUACAUAGUAUCUUCCAGCCUCACUCUUCUGUGCCUAUGUGGAUGGUUGUUUUGAUCAAAUGGUACUAUAUUAUAUCCAUAUCCUCUACCCACGCAUGUUCGUUUUACCAUCACUGUGAGAAGAUUAGCCCUUCAGAGUGGUGGUGGUGGUGGUUGGAGGUGAAGGCAAG